UACGUAGGGGGCAAGCGUUAUCCGGAUUUACUGGGUGUAAAGGGAGCGUAGACGGCAGCACAAGUCUGAAGUGAAAUGCCGGGGCUUAACCCCGGAACUGCUUUGGAAACUGUGCAGCUAGAGUGCAGGAGAGGUAAGUGGAAUUCCUAGUGUAGCGGUGAAAUGCGUAGAUAUUAGGAGGAACACCAGUGGCGAAGGCGGCUUACUGGACUGUAACUAACGUUGAGGCUCGAAAGCGUGGGGAGCAAACAGG
rnacentral:rRNA from 1 species